rnacentral:lncRNA from 1 species
AUGAUCACAUCCCUCCUUCACAGAGGAGGGCAGGGCCCAGCCCCCCAAGCCUGCACGGCUGCUCUCAGCACUAGCUGCUGUGUGACCUUGAGCUGGGCCCUCACCCUCUCUGGGCCUCCCGCAUGUUUACCUCCUGGGAAAAUCAGGCAAAGGACAGUCUCUAAACACCGCCUGGGCUUGUCAAAGUCGGCCCUGUCCCAUCCGUCUGCAGAUUCCUUCGACCCUUCCCUGCCCUUAUGCGUCUUUCUGGGACUCACGACCCUCUGUUCGCAAAAAGCAACCUGCCGUCUCUGUCGUUGUCCUGAUCCUCCCGCACACGCAGCCUCCACUCACACUGGGCCUGGGCUGGGGCUUCGCGGUCAGCACCAUCCAUCUGCCCCUGAGCCAAGCUGGCCGGGCAGACCACAACAUGUCCCAAAUCAGAGAGGCCAACUGGGCCCCGUGGCCAGCAAGGGUGGACUCCAGGUGCCACCCACCAGUGAUGACGACAGAAAUAAUCACCAUGAUAAGCGCGGCGAUUCCCGAGCACACCCCCCGCCCCAGGCCCGGUGCAAAGUCCUGCACGGUCUCAUCCUUCUUAGAACCACCUCUGCUUUACAGACGGGGCAACCACGGCCAGCGAGGUCAAGGCCAGCUCCCCAUCACGCCUGGAGUCCUGAGCCCCUCGGCAUCACACGUGUCAGCCACAAGUGGGCCACCACCUUGCCCUGGAUCCAUCCUUCCCUAUCUGGUUCCUCUACUCGCCACUCCCUGCCUAACAGAGCUGCAGCCAACAUAGAAUGCCCCCUGGCAGAUGCCCUGAUCCAUCUCCAUUAUGCCUGGCACAGAGCAGAGCCUGUGAGUGAAGCGUGGAGAUGCCACAGCCAGCCCUGCCCCUGCUGGCUCCACUGCCUUCUGCCUCCAUUCCGGGGGCACCUGUGUGUGGGGCUGCUCACCAGGCUCAGGGUGGCCCACAGCAGCAGGCCAGGCCUCCACCUUGUACCAAGGCUGGGCCUGAGGCUUCACUCCCUGGCUGUGGGACUGUGGGCCCAUUACUAA